UACAGUCUCUAGCUAUGUGUCC
rnacentral:sRNA from 1 species